UUCAAAAUAGGCAUAUCUCCGUUCUAUUAUAUGUGGAUGAUAUGGCGAUUCUUUCGUUAACACCAGUUGGCCUAAAGCGUGCUCUCCUUCUGUUAGAUAAAUACUGUACACAGGAGAACUUGGAGAUCAAUUAUCAAAAGACAAAAGUCAUGGUCUUUGCUAACUGGCCCAGAGGGCAUCAGUGGUCAAUAAGCUCACAUAGGAUAGAGCAGGUUAAGUCCUUUAGGUAUUUAGGAGUUCUGUUUCAUUCCUCCUGUUCACGUAAACCUCACCUCGAUUCGGCAAUUUUAAAGGCCAAACCAGUAGUUAAAUCAAUACUCUCUUACUAUUACACUAAGGGUGCAUCCUAUGUUGCAGCCGUGGUCAAACUAUUCUCGGCAAAGGUUUUGCCUCAACUUUUUUAUGGAGCGCAGUUGGGCAUAGUUAAAAAUCUUGAUCUAUUGGAGGCACUGCAGUCAAAUUUUUAAGAGCUGUACUGGCUGUUCCCAGAUGUGCCCCCACGGUGGCUCUGAGAAGAGAGGUCAGAAUGAUUAGGCUUCAGACAUGCUUAUGGAGAGUUAUUAUUCUUUAUUGGUUAAAAAUUUAUUUUUUGCAGGAGGGUUUGGUUGUUUUAAAAAACAGGACUCCCUUAAAUUUAGAUGACAUACUGAAGCCAUUGAUAAGUUGGCCCGCUGUGGAUACUCCUUAGAGUAUCUUGGUUACGACAGAGCUGGCAUCCAAAUUAUUCCAUGCCUAAUGGAUAUUGAGUUGCAAUAUGAAAUUUCCCAGAUAUCUAAAAGAUCGUUCUUGGGUGACCAAUUGACUGGAUUUAAUUUGGCCUUCUAUCUCCAGGUAGCUACGAUUCCUGAAUAUAGACGAGCCAUGACGCUGGCCAGGUUGGAUGUCCUUCCGUCUGCAGUUCUGUUUGGUAGAUAUGCAGGAAUUCCCUUGGCGAAUCGUCAGUCUGAAUGCCAGCUCCACAUGUCCGCGUACAGUGUGACCAGGACGACCACGAUCCCCAUCCACCAUUAACUGCUUCAGGACUCUUGCCAACUGUUAUACACUCACCUGAGAAGCACCACUGAACAAUAAAGCAGCCAAUGUAACAGCUUCUCAUCAGCUCUGUGCCUGCAACACGUAUGGUUGCUGACAGAGAAGGGAGUGAGCCAGAGGCAUGUAAGGCUGACCAGUGACUUUCUAAUCAGCAGUGGCAGACAGCUUUCACAGUGGACUCACUGCAGAGCAGCCAGCAACAAGAGCAGUCUAUCAGAGCAGGGAGACCUUUUCAGCAGUAGCAUCCUAAAAGAAUCCUGUAAUCACCUUAUUCUCUCCGCAUCUUGUUCCAUCUGCUGCCGCAUCCAGUUUUGACCGACAGGAUCCUUUCACGGAGCACCAUAGUGUCUGGCAAAUAUUCUGCAACAACAAAAGUUAAAUACUGUAAAGAAACAAAAUAACUUUUAAAGAACUUCAGGGUGGUUUUUUGUUUGCUUUUAAAGAGGGAUAUCACAAUUUAAAAUGUCUCUAGGCAACUUGAAUUCAAACAGCAAGGAAGCAGCAUUUUUAAAAUAAUAAUAAUAAUGUGUUAUUUGCUUUAAAGUUUUUAUAACUCAUGAAUUAACUAACUAAAUUUUGCAGAAUGAAGCUUGAUCUUAAUUUCAUUAGUACAAAAUCAGUAAAAAGAUUAUUUAAGCUAGUAACAGACUUCCAAACACUGUUCCUGGUUUUAAUCACACAGGGAAUGGGAAGCAGAGAAACUUUCCUUCCUGUCCAGCACUUCUGGGACACUGGGGAAAUAGGAGUGACUGGGUUCACUCUUAGUAUGGAACUUGAGAUUCCCCCAGCCCAAGAUAUGGAAGGAAUUUGAAGUUGGCAAUGCAGAUGAUCACAUAUCUCGGUUUGUUGGAAGCAGCUGAGUUGAGCCAGAAAUAUGCUCCUUGUCCAUGCUUCCCAGCAAGGCCCUGGAUGCUCUCCCAGCCUACCUUGCCAUGCCCUUUGACUGACAAGCCUUCCCUACAUCAUGUUGGAAGUGAAGGACUAUAUGCUGUCUCUUGUCUCAAUGACAUAGGAGGACAGACUUGUGAGUCAGAGGGCUAGAGGGUCAAGACAUUGGUCAUCCCUUCUCUACUGCUCUGACACUAUCCCUUUGGAUGUAGAUGCUAUUCUCAGGGACACUUCCUUCCUUCCAGCCACUUCCUUCCUCUCUCUCUUCUCUUCCCUUCCUUCUGCCUUGCAACAUGCAAGCUC